rnacentral:rRNA from 1 species
GUCNGGAUUUAUUGGGCGUAAAGCGAGCGCAGGCGGUUAGAUAAGUNUGAAGUUAAAGGCUGUGGCUUAACCAUAGUACGCUUUGGAAACUGUUUAACUUGAGUGCAGAAGGGGAGAGUGGAAUUCCAUGUGUAGCGGUGAAAUGCGUAGAUAUAUGGAGGAACACCGGUGGCGAAAGCGGCUCUCUGGUCUGUAACUGACGCUGAGGCUNGAAAGCGUGGGGAGCGAACAGGAUUAGAUACCCUGGUAGUCCACGCCGUAAACGAUGAGUGCUAGGUGUUAGGCCCUUUCCGGGGCUUAGUGCCGCAGCUAACGCAUUAAGCACUCCGCCUGGGGAGUACGACCGCAAGGUUGAAACUCAAAGGAAUUGACGGGGGCCCGCACAAGCGGUGGAGCAUGUGGUUUAAUUCGAAGCAACGCGAAGAACCUUACCAGGUCUUGACAUCCCGAUGCCCGCUCUAGAGAUAGAGUUUUACUUCGGUACAUCGGUGACAGGUGGUGCAUGGUUGUCGUCAGCUCGUGUCGUGAGAUGUUGGGUUAAGUCCCGCAACGAGCGCAACCCUUAUUGUUAGUUGCCAUCAUUCAGUUGGGCACUCUAGCGAGACUGCCGGUAAUAAACCGGAGGAAGGUGGGGAUGACGUCAAAUCAUCAUGCCCCUUAUGACCUGGGCUACACACGUGCUACAAUGGCUGGUACAACGAGUCGCAAGUCGGUGACGGCAAGCUAAUCUCUUAAAGCCAGUCUCAGUUCGGACUGUAGGCUGCAACUCGCCUACAUGAAGUCGGAAUCGCUAGUAAUCGCGGAUCAGCACGCCGCGGUGAAUACGUUCCCGGGCCUUGUACACACCGCCCGUCACACCACGAGAGUUUGUAACACCCGAAGUCGGUGAGGUANCCUUUUAGGAGCCAGCC